CCUACGGGGGGCAGCAGUGGGGAAUAUUGCACAAUGGGGGAAACCCUGAUGCAGCGACGCCGCGUGAGUGAAGAAGUAAUUCGUUACGUAAAGCUCUAUCAGCAGGGAAGAAACACUGACCUUACGGUCAGCAGACGGUACCUGAGUAAGAAGCCCCGGCUACCUACGUGCCAGCAGCCGCGGUAAUACGUAGGGGGCAAGCGUUAUCCGGAGUUACUGGGUGUAAAGGGAGCGUAGCCGGUGCGCCAGGUCUGGAGUGAAAUGCCGCAGCUUAACUGCGGAAAUGCUUUGGAACCUGGCGAACUAGAGUGCGGGAGGGGUAAGCGGAAUUCCUAGUGUAGCGGUGAAAUGCGUAGAUAUUAGGAGGACAACCGGUGGCGAAGGCGGCUUACUGGACCGUAACUGACGUUGAGGCUCGAAAGCGUGGGGAGCAACCAGGAUUAGAUACCCCUGUAGUC
rnacentral:rRNA from 1 species